GACAAAUCCUCAACUGUAUGUCAGAAUCCAUGUUAGAUACUAGGGAUACGAAGAGAAGUCAAACAGGGUCCUAUCCCCAGAAAGGAGACAGACAAAGGAGCUGAUGGUUCAGACAGCAAAUGUGGAGAGUUGUUCAGGGUGUCAUGGGAGCACAUACAGAUAAGGAACGGGAUGCAGAGCAAGUUUAAAUAACUUGCAGAAGGACACACAGUUUGGAAGUGAAGAAGCUCAAAUUCAAGGACUGGCAGUCUGCAUCCAGGGUUGAUCAUCUUAAAUACCGCACUGAACUGGUUGCUCCCAAAGACUAAACAGUAUUUUUUAUAACAGGAUAUCCAUUUGUAGGUCAAUAAAUAGUUUCUAAUUCUUCUUAAAAUAAAAUACAAUGAACCGAAUAAAAUUUAAUAUAUCAGAGUAAA